rnacentral:rRNA from 1 species
GUGUACGUACAAGCAGUGGGAGCACAGGUUUACCUGUGUGACUGCGUACCUUUUGUAUAAUGGGUCAGCGACUUAUAUUCUGUAGCAAGGUUAACCGAAUAGGGGAGCCGGAGGGAAACCGAGUCUUAAUUGGGCGUUAAGUUGCAGGGUAUAGACCCGAAACCCGGUGAUCUAGCCAUGGGCAGGUUGAAGGUUGGGUAACACUAACUGGAGGACCGAACCGACUAAUGUUGAAAAAUUAGCGGAUGACCUGUGGCUGGGGGUGAAAGGCCAAUCAAACCGGGAGAUAGCUGGUUCUCCCCGAAAGCUAUUUAGGUAGCGCCUCGUGAAUUCAUCUCCGGGGGUAGAGCACUGUUUCGGCUAGGGGGCCAUCCCGGCUUACCAACCCGAUGCAAACUGCGAAUACCGGAGAAUGUUAUCACGGGAGACACACGGCGGGUGCUAACGUCCGUCGUGAAGAGGGAAACAACCCAGACCGCCAGCUAAGGUCCCAAAGUCAUGGUUAAGUGGGAAACGAUGUGGGAAGGCCCAGACAGCCAGGAUGUUGGCUUAGAAGCAGCCAUCAUUUAAAGAAAGCGUAAUAGCUCACUGGUCGAGUCGGCCUGCGCGGAAGAUGUAACGGGGCUAAACCAUGCACCGAAGCUGCGGCAGCGACACUGUGUGUUGUUGGGUAGGGGAGCGUUCUGUAAGCCUGUGAAGGUGUGUCGUGAGGC